UACGGGGGGGGUAAGCGUUGUUCGGAAUUACUGGGCGUAAAGGGCUCGUAGGCGGCCAACUAAGUCAUACGUGAAAUCCCUCAGCUUAACUGGGGAACUGCGUGUGAUACUGGAUGGCUUGGAUUUGGGAGAGGGAUGCGGAAUUCCAGGUGUAGCGGUGAAAUGCGUAGAUAUCAGGAGGAACACCGGUGGCGAAGGCGGAUCUCUGGGCCGAUACUGACGCUGAGGAGCGAAAGCGUGGGGAGCGAACAGG
rnacentral:rRNA from 1 species